GCGGCGGAUGGGGAGCAGGCGGGCACCCUGCGAAAAAGGCGAGAAUAAAGAAAAAGAAGAAGAUCGACCAGGGUCAUCAGCUGAAGGAACUACAUUUCCCCAUCAAGAAAGAAGCGUUCGCGGUGGAAAAGAAGGGGGGGUCUGAGAUCUCGCCUGGUGGCGGGUAAGCUUCCUGAGGAGCUAUCUGGGAGUAGCUCAUCUUCUCUUGCUCCUCCUCCCGCGA
rnacentral:lncRNA from 1 species